rnacentral:rRNA from 1 species
AGUGAACGCUGGCGGUAGGCCUAACACAUGCAAGUCGAACGGCAGCACAGUAAGAGCUUGCUCUUACGGGUGGCGAGUGGCGGACGGGUGAGGAAUACAUCGGAAUCUACUUUUUCGUGGGGGAUAACGUAGGGAAACUUACGCUAAUACCGCAUACGACCUACGGGUGAAAGCAGGGGAUCUUCGGACCUUGCGCGAUUGAAUGAGCCGAUGUCGGAUUAGCUAGUUGGCGGGGUAAAGGCCCACCAAGGCGACGAUCCGUAGCUGGUCUGAGAGGAUGAACAGCCACACUGGAACUAGAACACGGUCCAAACUCCUACGGGGGGCAGCAGUGGGGAAUUUUGGACAAGGGGCGCAACCCUGACCCAGCCAUACCGCGUGGGUAAAGAAGCCCUUCGGGUUUUAAAGCCCUUUUGUUGGGAAAAAAAAUCAGCAGGUUAAUACCCCGCUGUUCUGACGGUACCCAAAAAAUAAGCACCGGCUAACUGCGU